AUCUGAUCCCCUUUGCUCUUCUGACACAUGAUCUCAUCCUUCAGGUGGAGGAGAAAGAGCACACAUGCAUGUAUGCACAUCAGCAACAAAGUGCAGAAUGCCAAGGCUAGUGUCCAUCACCACACCUGCCUGAGGACAAAGGAUUGCGUUCAUGCAGCGUUGGAGAUACUUGUGGUUCCUGAUGUGUCAUCACAUUCGAUGUAAAUCUCCGGAUUUAUGUAGUGAAGACAUUUGCAACCUUUUACACCAUUGUUCUCAAGGAAACAGUUAAACCAGGAUGGUGGACCAGCCCCAAAAUCCCAGCACACGAAAGAAGGUAAAAGAUCAUGAGUGUGAGACCUACAGAGACCUUGUCUCA
rnacentral:lncRNA from 1 species